CCACGUUAAAACACCGGUUCUUGUACGAUCGCCAAAGUUAAGCAAGCUUGAUCCUGGUCAUUACCUGCAUGGGUGACCGCUUGGCAAUACCAGGUUCUGUA